AGUAGACUUUUGCUACAGUACUCUUCUCGUCAGCCAUGGCACGGAAGCAGCCCCUCCUCCAUGGCGCGGUGGUCGAUGCCGUCGACCUCCUCGCACCGGCGCAGCCCGAAUAGUCCACCGCCUUCUUCCAUCUGCCCCGCCUGCUCUCCCAAGCCCCAUAGCUUGGUUGUGGGCCGGUAGCCAUGGAGGCUGCCGCGGCGAGCGCGUUGACCAAGGAGGUGGUGCUGAAGCUGGUCGCGCUGCUGAGCGAGAAGCACAAGCUGUCCAAGCCGCUCAAGGAUGACCUCCGCUUCAUCCGCACCGAGCUCGACAUGAUCUCCAGCGCCAGGGACAGCCACCACAUGAUGGCGGGGGACCCGAGUUCCUCCUCGCGGCGGCCGCAGGCCGUCGUGUCCAUGGAGGAGAUGCGCGACCUCGCGCACGACAUCGAGGAUUGCAUCGACCGGUUCCUGCCCUGCGUCGCAUGCGAGGGGGAGGCGGCGGCGUCCUCGGUCCUCCGCCGCGUGAAGACGGCGGUCACCAGCACCAGAUCCCGGUUCGCGGCGGAGAUCCGGAAGCUCAGGGGCAGGCUCAGGGACGCCCACGAGCGGAGGGCCAACUACGACGUCCAGGCCGGCGGCGGGCCGUCCUUCUCGGCCGCUGCCACCGGAGCAGGUUCUCCUCCCGCAGCCGCCGAUGGCGACCUCGUGGGCAUCGACAAGCCGAGGCAGGAGCUCGUGGAGCUCUUGCUGGAGAGCGAGCCGGGGAGGUCGGGCGUGAUCUCCAUCGUGGGAUUCGGCGGCUCCGGGAAGACCACGCUCGCGAGGGCGGUGUUCGACUGCCCCGCCGUCGUCCGGAGGUUCCCCUGCCGCGCCUGGGCCGCCGCGCCGGAGCACAGGGACGCCGAGGGGCUCCUCGCGGCCAUACUCCGGCAGUUCCACACGGCCCAAAACUCCAUCCAUGGCUUCCUGCGGACUACAGAGUGUUUAAUCGUAAUCGAUGACAUUAACAAGCAACACUGGGACGCCAUCAAAUCUAUCUUCCACAGGGAAACAAAAAGCAGAAUCAUUGUGACAACAUCUCUUCAGUCAGUAGCUAAUGCUUGCAGCUCAGGUGGUGGUUAUGUUUACAAGAUGAGCAUUCUUGACGCGGAACUCUCCAAGGUUUUGCUAAUGAAGAAGGUCUUCUUCCAAGGAUGUUCACCUGAACUGGAGCGGGGCUCGACAGCGAUCGUUGAGAAGUGCGAUGGCCUUCCACUCGCUCUUGUUAGUGUGGCCAAGUUUUUGCUAGGCGAGAACGAGCUCACGGGGAAUCACUGCACGCAAGUUUGCCGCAACCUCGGGCUUCAUAUGGAGAAAGAUGCAGACUUCACAAAGCUACAACAGGUUCUUGUAAAUAACUACAUAAGCCUGUCUGGCUAUCCUCUCAGGACCUCCUUGCUGUACACAAGUGUGUUCCCAAAUGGUCGUACAAUCAGCAGGAAUACUUUGAUCAGGCGAUGGUUGGCAGAAGGGUACGUGCAAUGUCAGUACAAACGCAGUGACCAUGAGGUAGCAGAUGAGAACUUCCGGGAACUCAUUGACCGGAAUAUCAUCCGACCGAUCGAUGCUAGCAACAACACGAAAGUGAAGACAUGCAAAACUCAUGGUAUCAUGCACGAGUUCAUGCUGCACAAGUCCAUGUCUGAUAACUUCAUCACUUCUCUGCGUGAUCAAAAUCGAAGUAAGUUCCGUCACCUGUUCAUCCAGAACCCUGCAAGUGGCAGCACCUUGGGCCUGAACCACCAACAUACAAGUACAGCAAGCGACAACGUAUCUGGUAGUGAAAAAUUUCGUGCCCGAUCUCUAACAAUCUUUGGAAAUGUGGAAGAAUCGGCUUCUGAGUUUUGUAGGUGCGAGCUUCUGCGAGUGCUGGAUCUGCAAGAAUGCAAUGAUUUGGAGGACGAUCAUCUCAAGGACAUACAUAAGUUGUGGCAUCUAAAAUAUCUGAGCCUUGGGGGAACUAUCAACAACCUUCCAAGGAAUAUUGAAAAGUUACACUGCUUAGAGACACUGGACCUUAGGAAGACCAAGAUAGAUAUAUUGCCAUAUGAAGUCAUUGGGUUGCCUCACCUAGCUCACCUGCUUGGAAAGUUUAAGCUUGGGAAAAAGGACCUGAAAAUGAGUGAACUGAAGAAGCUCUUGCCCAAAACAUGUAAGUUGAAGACUCUUGCAGGAUUUGUUGCAGACGAAAACGCUGGGUUUCUACAACUAAUGGCUCAUAUGAAUGAAUUAAAGAAGGUUAAGAUAUGGUGUGAGUCCACUGGUGCAGACAGCAAGAGCUUACCUCACAUUUCAAAGGCAGUUCAGAAGUUUGCUCAGGAUGGUAUGGACACUACAGGCGUUCGAUCUCUGUCACUUGACUUCGGAAAUUCCACGGGGGACUUCCUGGGUUCUAUGCAAGAAUAUUGUUAUCUCAGCUCGCUGAAACUGCGGGGCAGGCUGAGCGUGCUGCCUCAUUUUGUUACAUCCUUGUGUGGCCUCACGGAGUUGUGCCUUUCAUCAACUAAUCUGGUGGGGAAUGCUCUAUCAAACCUGUGUAAGCUUCGCUACCUGCUUUACCUCAAACUGGUUGAGGCUGACCUUAGGAGCUUUGUCAUUAAAAAUGGAGAUUUCCCAAGUCUGCGACGCUUAUGCCUUGUCGUGCAAUCACCCGUCCUCCCGACAAUUGGAAAAGGAGCUCUGCCGUAUCUUGUGUCACUUCAGCUGCUUUGUAAAGAUCUUGCUGAUCUUUCAGGCAUCAAGAUUGAAUACCAUGAUUGCCUGGAGGAAGUCGCUCUUGAUUCGAUGGUCAGUACGAAAGCAGUAGAAACGUGGGAAACUGCAGCAAAGAAGCAUCCAAAGAGACCAAAGGUUCUGUUUCUCAAACGGAUUGAUCCAAGCGAAGCCCAGUCUUCUGUGAAAUAUGUGGCGGCAGAUGGACCGAUGCCUAAGAAGGGUCCCUCCAUUGAGUUCAGUCAAGUUCAGUUAACGCAGAAUAUGUUGCAGAAUGAAUGCAUAAUCCGUUCAGUCCAAUCAAGUUCAGUGAACAAGCCUAAUUCAGCUUUGAAGAAAAUAAUAGUUUCAGAACCCCAUCAGGCUGCAUCGGAGCUAUCCAGUGCUGGGAAUGGUGCGAUGCCUCCUUCUGCAAGCAUAUGUAACAGUUAGAGCAGCGCUGUUGGAGUUGAUAAAAUGAGCCACCGGUUUCAACCUCAUCGGGCCUGGUCCUUGGGUCGGGUUCUUGUAGUCCGCAGGCUGUGCUAGCUUUGUGCCUGUACAGAAACUCCUCUUUCCAUGUAUGCAUGGACACAGCCAGCGUUUGCCUGUUGCCGUGUCGGUCGGGGAGAAGUUGUUGCCUCAAGUUACCAUGCAGGCUGCAAGGUAAGUCUGCCUCCAUACCGAGCAAUGCCCAUCGCUGGAAUGCAGUUCACCGUGUUAUCCGAUUCACGUUUCACAACUAUAGGUUUGUGGCAUGUUGUAUCAUGUCCAGUUGCACAACUAAGAGCCACUCAGCAGCGUGUACAGAUGCAGUCAUGCAGAUAUGUACUCCCUCCGUUCCUAAUUACCUAGUCAUUUUAGAGAUUUUAAUGUCAAAUAUCCAAUUCUGAGCCCGGGCUCAUCUGCACCCGGUCAAGAAAUAAUUCAUAAAAAAAUAAAAUAAAAAUCCAAAUUUUUUGUGCAUGGUAGAUAAUUUGGUGCGUAAGGUGCGCUCCAAAUUUUAGAGCAUUUGGACAUUUGAGUAGCUCAGCAAAAAAGACAAAUUGGGUCAGUGCAGUAUACGAACAGUACACUAUUUAGUGCAGUAUACGAACAAUACACUAUUUAACAGACCCCAAAUUUGUCUUUUUUGCCGAGAGCUAUUCAAAUGUCCAAAUGAUUAGAAAUUUGGAUCGGAGGUCACGCACCUAAUUAUCUACCAUACCAAUUUGUUUUGGAUUUUUUUGAAUUUUUCUAGUAUUUGUUUUGAUUUUUUUUAUUCAGCACAGGUGCAGAUGCUCCUGAUAGCCAAAACGCCUUUUAAUGUGGACUACAUACGGAGUAACAUGAGUGAACUAUAUUUGCCUACGUAAUUACAUGGUUGCCACUAAGAUGGUUGUUUCCCUCGUCUCUUUGGUGGGAAGUCUAAAUACCAUCUGCAUGUUCGUAUUUGAGAGGAUUAGUUUUGUAUUAGCAGAGCCUCUGCACCUGCGCUGAAGUUUUGUAUUAGCAGAGGUACAGAGGCGCCAAGUUUUUUUUAACCUUUUGUCAUCACAUCGUGUAAAGUAUAUAUAUAUCAGACGAUCCC
rnacentral:rRNA from 1 species